CGUCACGAGCACAGGGCAAGCUGACAGUUAGUUGAAGGGGAGCAGUUUGCCUCCCUAGUCCAGGCCGAGUGGACGCGCCACACCCUCUUGCCAUCUCUCUGUUGGAACAGCACCAUCUUACUAAACCUAUCUUGGUCAGACUGGGAGGUCGGGGGAUAGAGAAAGAAUCCCUUGUGUAUGCACACAUAUUUGAAAUUCAUUCCACCACUGUUGUGACAUAGGCUUCAAAUCAAGAUAUUUUUAAACAGAAAAUAUGAUUUUGAACAGAUCAAGAAUCUUACAGUUUCAGAUCUAGAAGAAUCCAGGAAGUAUGCUACAGAAAGUGAUCUGAUGAGGAUUUCCUAUGGGCUGCACCCAGGACUAUAUAUUAUGCUCAACAGACAAAAGCUUUUGACAGAUCUUCCAACAUCUGGAAAAUGCAAGCUCAACACUAUGGAACUGAAUUCACCAGAAUCCCAUGAUAACGUCUUCCUCCUUCAUCUCUGACACUGUGGCUCAGGAAAGUGUCCCACCUUGCUGUUACUGUGAAAAUGGGAAACAUUCUACGGACUUACAGCCUAACCUCUCAAUCCUCCAACAACAGCUCGAUCCUCUCUUAUUGGCCAAUCUUUUAUAUCAAUAGAUGCUCCAUCUUCCAGAAAUGUAGAAGUUAAUGCAAUUCAGGAAGAAACCACUUUACUGAAAAAGGAUCCAAAGCAUGGGUUAGAGCUGAAUAUAGAACAGAGGGUCAGAGUUCUUCCAGAAGAAAGGAUACAGUCACAUAAGGCACAAAGAACUGAUGUGAAGCUGACACCCAAGGUGCCAUGUUCAGCCACAGAGAGCAUAAAGGUCACUACAAUGGCAUUGCUUCAGGUUAUGGAAUCAAUGGGAAUUAUCCCAGACUCACAUUCAGAGGCAAUAGACUCUGAGGGAAAACAAAAGAUAAGACUGACUUAUCACAGCCAUCAAACCAAGCUGAAACAGUCAUCAAAAUUCCAAGUCAUCAAAUCCAGUACCAAGUCCUGAGCAUCAAAUGAGGGAAUCAAAGAGUAUGGCCUCAAAACCAAAUCAAAUCACUGAUAUCUUGAAAGUAACUCCUGUACCAUUGUUUCAUAUCUUGGAUUCUAGGAGGCUGAUUAAUGAAUUAUGUUCCAUGUCAUAGAAUCAACAGGAAUAGCCCUAAAGCCACAAUA